rnacentral:rRNA from 1 species
AUUGAACGCUGGCGGCAGGCCUAACACAUGCAAGUCGAACGAGUGGCGGACGGGUGAGUAAUGUCUGGGAAACUGCCUGAUGGAGGGGGAUAACUACUGGAAACGGUAGCUAAUACCGCAUACCAUCAGAUGUGCCCAGAUGGGAUUAGCUUGUUGUUAGGGUAACGGCUCACCAAGGCGACGAUCCCUAGCUGGUUUGAGAGGAUUACCAGCCACGUGGGAACUGAGACACGGUCCAGACUCCUACGGGAGGCAGCAGUGGGGAAUAUUGCACAAUGGUCGCAAGCCUGAUGCUGCCAUGCCGCGUGUAUGAAGAAUGCCUUCGGGUUGUAAAGUACUUUCAGCGGGGAGGCGUGACCCGCAGAAGAAGCACCGGCUAACUCCGUGCCAGCAGCCGCGGUAAUUC